AUUGGUAUACACUACACCCUAGUGUAGGUAGGGAUACCUACACCCCCCUCUAAACGAUGCGUUUAUCAUGUUACCCACAUCCCAUAACCCACUAACCUACUGUAACUACCCACCAUUCUCUCUAAAACCUUCUUCUUCAUUUCUCUAGACUUUCUCUCUCAUCAAAACUAGAAAAUAUGAACCAAAAUUGCUUCAAAAUACUACAAAAUUGCUUCAAAAUACUACGAAAUUGCUUCAAAAUAUUGCUAAAUUCCUUCAAAUGUCUACAUUUGCGAAGAAAUUCAACAAUCGCAACAACAUUCACAGAAAGAAACCGAAAAAUAUAUUUCGAAUUAGAGAGAUAAAGAGAAUGAUGAUUCAGAGAAGAAUCAUGUUCGUUGAACAUAACAAGGCAUAGUCUGAAGAAACGUGAACCAAAUUAGGAAGCAAGGAUGCGGAACUGAUGCUAUUUGAAGAAAAACACUAAAUAUAGGUUAAAUCGAAGAUAAGCAAGGAAGUUUGCAAAUGAAUAGUACAUGUUAUAUGUUCAUUUAUGAAAGUGUAUAUGUUCAUUAAUGAAUGUGUAUAUGAUCAUAUCUUAAACUUCCUCCAUUUCUUUUUACUUGCAACACAGCCUUGUGGCACGUGUUUUGAGGUCGGGUUUAUAUAAUGUAAACGGAUAAAUUAUUCAUUAUAAUUUUUACAAAUGAUACUUAACCCUAUUCUAA